GACGAACGCUGGCGGCGUGCUUAACACAUGCAAGUCGAACGGAAAGGCCCUGCUUUUGUGGGGUGCUCGAGUGGCGAACGGGUGAGUAACACGUGAGUAACCUGCCCUUGACUUUGGGAUAACUUCAGGAAACUGGGGCUAAUACCGGAUAGGAGCUCCUGCUGCAUGGUGGGGGUUGGAAAGUUUCGGCGGUUGGGGAUGGACUCGCGGCUUAUCAGCUUGUUGGUGGGGUAGUGGCUUACCAAGGCUUUGACGGGUAGCCGGCCUGAGAGGGUGACCGGCCACAUGGGGACUGAGAUAAGGCCCAGACUCAUACGGGAGGCAGCAGUGGGGAAUAUUGCACAAUGGGCGGAAGCCUGAUGCAGCAACGCCGCGUGCGGGAUGACGGCCUUCGGGUUGUAAACCGCUUUCGCCUGUGACGAAGCGUGAGUGACGGUAAUGGGUAAAGAAGCACCGGCUAACUACGUG
rnacentral:rRNA from 1 species